rnacentral:rRNA from 1 species
UCGUGGAGUGAUUUGUCUGCUUAAUUGCGAUAACGAACGAGACCUUAACCUACUAAAUAGCCAGGCUAGCUUUGGCUGGUCGCCGGCUUCUUAGAGGGACUUUCGGCUCAAGCCGAAGGAAGUUUGAGGCAAUAACA